CCUAAAUUAUGACUGACUUUUUAAAAACAGGUUUUGUGAAAUACGUAUUCGCCUCAAGACGUAAUAGCCUACCUGAACGUGCUCUAAAACAUUGACGUUGCCACACUCACGCACGAAUAACUGCAACUGAAUUGAAUUUUUGGGUGAAACUAUCCUGUAACGAAAGAGCCCUAAUUUCACAAAAUUGUUGCGGGGGAACAGUAAUCCACUGGCGGGAUAAUCGUACCAUGGCACCGGCGUCCAUCAAUCCGUAUCCAAAUGAAUGACUCACUGGUAAGACGUUUGAAAGAAUACGUGUGUUAACUAGAUAGUAAUUUUCUCAACAAAAAAAAAAUGAUAAUUAUAAUACCAUUCCGACCAA